rnacentral:lncRNA from 1 species
CUCUGUUGCCCCCUCAAAUACACGUGAUGAUGCCCAACAGGGCAAAGAUGUAUUGAUUUUUUGGAUUCUUUAAGUAUCUUUCACUUACCAUUUUAUAGGCAAUUUUGCUGUUCUAUUUUCAGUAUUGUUUUUAUAAAUUCCAUCUUUCAUUUUAUUUUCCAUUUCACAAGAAAGCAAACUCCCUGAAAUCUGAACAGUAAAAUGAUGGUACGUGAAAACCAAAGGUCUGUGGUUUUUUAUAAUCCUAAAUUAAAUGCCCUCCAAGAAAUGACAUAAUUAGUGUGACCUAGGUAAUUGUAUAAUAUGUGCAUGCCUUUUUCAAAAAGAUUUUAUUUAUUUAUUUGACAGACACACAGAGAGAGAACACAAGCACGGGGAGCACCAGAGACGGAGAAGCAGACUCCCUGCGGAGUGGGGCUUGAUCCCAGGACUUUGGGAUCAUGACCUGAGCCGAAGGCAGAUGCUUAACCAACUGAAUCACCCAGGCCCACUGAUACAUGCAUGCCUUAAGAGCCCCAGGCACCAGACUACUACUCUCUCCAUUCAAAUGCUUUUGAAUGGAGUAAUUAAAAAAAAAGGUCCAUCUGUCAGAAAAUAGGUCCAUCUGGAACUAUGGAUCUACACAAAGAGGAAGAGCAUAACAAAGGUAAUUAUAUAAUGAUUAAGUAUAAUUAUUUAUGGUAAUAUAAUAAGGUAGGGUAAAUAUAAAAUAAUUGAUUUUAUAUUAAAAAUCAUGUUAGAAGAUAAUUGACAGCUUAAAACAAAAAAAUAAUAAUGUAUUAUAGGGCUUGUAACAUAGAUAGAAACAAAUAUAUGACAGUAGCACAAAAGCCAAGAAGGAGAUAAUUGAAAUAUACUGUUUUGAGAUUUUUAUGCUCUAUUUGAAAUGGUGUAAUAAUACUUGAAGGAACAUUUGAUAGAGAUAUAUUUUAUCAACCCUAAAUGAUCUCCUAAAAAAAAAUAGCUAAUAAGCCAACAAGAUGGAAUCAUAAAGGAGAUUAAAUUAAUCCAAAAGGAGGCAGGACAAAAA